UUAUUUUUUUCCGACGUAGUCGGUAUAGUUUCGGUUUGUGCCCUUUGAACUUAAGGACGCUUAACUAUGGCAACAGAAUACGCAUGCUCGAAAAUCCUUUCUGUGAUUGGACAAAAUGCUGUCAUGGUGGGUGAUUUGGUUGUGUUUGAAAAAACGUCUCGUUAAUUAUAUCGUGAUGGAAAGCAAGUGAAAAACUAUAAAUAUUUG
rnacentral:lncRNA from 1 species